rnacentral:rRNA from 1 species
GGCAGCAACCAUAUCACCCUGCAACUCACAACUGGCAACCCACUGAAGCUCAGCAGGUGUGAGCCUGGUCAGUACCUGGAUGGGAGACCUCCUGGGAAAAACUAAGGUUGCCGCUG